rnacentral:rRNA from 1 species
GAUGAACGCUGGCGGCGUGCCUAACACAUGCAAGUCGAGCGAUUUACUUCGGUAAAGAGCGGCGGACGGGUGAGUAACGCGUGGGUAACCUGCCCUGUACACACGGAUAACAUACCGAAAGGUAUGCUAAUACGAGAUAAAAUACUUUUAUCGCAUGGUAGAAGUAUCCAAGCUUUUGCGGUACAGGAUGGACCCGCGUCUGAUUAGCUAGUUGGUAAGGUAACGGCUUACCAAGGCGACGAUCAGUAGCCGACCUGAGAGGGUGAUCGGCCACAUUGGAACUGAGACACGGUCCAAACUCCUACGGGAGGCAGCAGUGGGGAAUAUUGCACAAUGGGCGAAAGCCUGAUGCAGCAACGCCGCGUGAGCGAUGAAGGCCUUCGGGUCGUAAAGCUCUGUCCUCAAGGAAGAUAAUGACGGUACUUGAGGAGGAAGCCCCGGCUAACUACGUGCCAGCCGCCGCCGUAA